GAGACUAUUGUGUGUCUCUGUCCUUCUCUCUCUUUCUUCUGCUUCCAUCCCAUGGAAACUGAGCUCCCAAGCAAUCUACUUGACUGACGGACUUGUAAGGAAAGAAAUUAUAGCUGUAGGACCCAACUACUUUACUUCACCUUAUCAAAUGCACUCACCAAUUUAUGCUCUUUUUCCACAGUCUGACAAGAAUCAGGACUGUUCCAGGGCUUUUGGAGCCCUCUGGUCUCUCCGGAUGGUGACAUUCUAUCUUGACAACUCAGAUCCAGCCACCAGGAAGAAUUGCAAGAUGAAAUCGCAUGCACUUGACAAGCAUUUAUCAAAUCUGAAUUUAUUUCCUGAUUACAAAAGUAUUCCAUGUUACUGGUAGGCUAGGAAACUAUAGAAAGAAUCACCAGCUAUAGAAUCAGAAAGAGUAACUUAAUAUUUUUCCAGUCUCUUUUUCUUUCUUCA
ensembl:lncRNA